CUUUCCGUUUCUGAUACCUGCUCAUCACUGACAAGAAGAAGAGAGCCAGUAUUUACUUCUUUGCAAAAACUGUUCACACACAUUUAUCGAACUCGCUAAAGCACCUGACUACGAGAUCCAAGCUUCUGACUGAAACACAGCAACUCAAACAACAAAACUCAGGAGCUCCGCAAUCUCCUGCCCAAAUAUCAAAACUCAAAGGUAACCACAGCAGGUGCUGGAGCAAGCAGCGGGCAAGGUCCUGUAUGUAUCUUCCUCAGGCAUGUGUUUGAACCCUUUGGAAACUGAAGACAGGAACCAGCUACAGAUGGGUGACAAAUUCAAGAAAAACCUGAAUAACUGAGUGGAGAAACAUAAGAAUGGCUGAGUGUGUGUGCAUCACUUACCUGGGGAAGAGAUGGCACAGGAUACUCUGUGGAAAGAAGGCAAGUCAGCAGAGGCAGUGCAGUGGUCUGAGCAAUGUUCUGCUGGGAAACCUUGAGUCCUGGUAUUCAUGUAGAUGUUACUUUGACACAUACCACCUAAACAUUGGUGCAGACCAAGUACACAAUGGCAUUGCUAAUGGCAACGGUAUUCCCUAAUGGCAGUGGCCGCUUUCAGAUGGAUAACGUGCACUGCUACACUGCAAAAAUUGCAGGAAUGGUAUGAAAAACAUAACAAAGAGUAUAAGAUGUUGAUUUGGCCUCCAAAUUUCCCAGAUCUCAAUCCAAUCUAGCACCUGAAGAUGUGCUGGACAAACAAGUCCGAACCAUGGAGGCUCCACCACACAACUUACAGGAUUUAAAUUAUCUGCUGCUAAUGUCUUGGUGCCAGAUACCACAGCUCACCUUCAGAGGUCUUGUGGAGUCCAUGCCUCGAAGGGUCAGAGCUAUUUUGGCAGCACAGGGGGGACUUACACAAUAUUAGGCAGAUGGUUUUAAUGUUAUGAGUGAUCAUGAAUGUCAGUUAUAUGUAUCGAGCAGAUAUGAUGUUUAAAUUAAUAAUCAGUAUGAUAAGUGCCAGAUCUUGAGCUUUACAGAGAUUGCAUUGUUGUUGAAAAUUUUAUUGUUGUAAUCAUGUUAAAUACAUGUCAUGUACUAAAAUCCAUGCAGUCAUGUUGCUCCUUCACUAAACCUACAUAAUUGUGCAUUCUAUGAAAACAACUUGAAUGAAAUCAAUCCAGUUUUCCUUGUAAUGCUCUAACAAAAAGCUGACUAUUAGUUGGGACUGGAAAAAAAAAUAGAACUACCACAAAAACUGUAUGAAUGACAUGCAGGAGGUGAAACCACAAUCAUAUGAAGGUAGUGUCACACAUUUCUAUGCUUUUUUAAGAGCUUAUACCAGGUGUUCAGGAAACCAGAAAUGUACAUAACUGAUUAGACUGAAUUUCUCAUUAAUGCUGAUAAUUGCUGAACAGCCCAAACAUUUCAUUUAAUUGAUGUCUGCUCCACUUCUACCAGCUUUACAUUUCCUGGUAGGCAUGGUCCUAUUUCACAACCGCCCCCUUUUACAACCCAUGUUCUUUACUAAGAAAUCCAAGUAUUGGUAUAUAUUUCAUAUCUACUAUUCACUAUGUUUAUUUACUACCACAUAUUAGUUAAGUUCAUAACUAUAUUAACAGUAUUUAAACCUGAUAGAAAUGAACCUGAUUGAACACAAUAGUGUGAAUUUGGGAGACUUUUAUUCUUAAGACUGGGUAUGGAACCACAACCCACUACUGAAGAAUACUAGAUGGUGUUUUGAGCUUAAGAGACAGCAAGACUGAAUGAACUAGAUCAGCCAGGUGCUCAGAGAGACUAUCCCAGUCUCCAAGGUUACCGGUUGGUGAAAGCUUGAGAGUAGGACAACUCCUAAAGCCCUAGUGUGCUCAUUUGCUACAACGUAGUAAUAGCUUUGCAUCCCCUGAGUGUAGCAUGAGUCACGUGACAGUAUUUUGGUAUAAUGUUUGCAUUACUCUUACACUAUAAUACACCUUUCCUCCCAUCUAACAUCAGACUUUAACACUAUCUAACCAGUCUAGCUUAUUAGUCUCAACUCAAGAAGGGCAGAAUAUUUUUUCUAUUUUUAAAUUAUGUAUUCAUAUCAAAGACCUUGAUUACAUGAACUGUAUGUAGUUUAAAAACCGACACUAGUAUUCACCCUCUAUCUUAGUCUUGUAGUAGCACAGUUGAAUUAGUCAGCUGAUGAGCUUGAGACUUCUCAAAUGAGUCAUAGUUAUUUAUAAAAAAAAAAAAAAAAAAAAAAGACAA